rnacentral:rRNA from 1 species
UACGUAGGGUGCAAGCGUUAAUCGGAAUUACUGGGCGUAAAGCGUGCGCAGGCGGUUUUGUAAGUCUGUCGUGAAAUCCCCGGGCUCAACCUGGGAAUUGCGAUGGAGACUGCAAGGCUGGAGUGCGGCAGAGGAGACUGGAAUUCCUGGUGUAGCAGUGAAAUGCGUAGAUAUCAGGAGGAACACCGAUGGCGAAGGCAGGUCUCUGGGCUGACACUGACGCUCAUGCACGAAAGCGUGGGGAGCAAACAGG